CCAAAUAAAUCAACCUUAACGUUUUGUUCAGCCUAGACCCACACACAGACUGGCUUGCUUUUUUAUUAAAGAUGGCUGACCGAGAGAGAGAGAGAGAGAGAGUGAGGUUGGAGACUCCUGCCCUACUCUCUGGGAAAACGAAGUAAAACGGCCACAAGACGUGAUGCUUCUGAGGAAGAAUACAGGAAGUAGCUAAUGUAAAGCAGAUUAAAAUCCUGUCUCUAAAAUGGAGCCAGUAUUCUUCUAAC